AAAUUGGGAACCUGGCUUGGUCCACAUAUGCCAAUCUUGACACCAUUAAUGAUAGUUGGGAUCAAGUGGUGACUAUUAUACAGAGCAAGAAGGUAGUUUUCCAGCCUUAACUCUGUCCUUCAUGGAAUGGGGUAGAAAUUCAGAAAGACGGUGUAUACCAGAGUUGAACAAAUAAAUAGAGAGCAUAGAUAAAUGGAGCCAGGCCAUUUCUUUUAUCAAGACCAAUGGUAGACUGAACUCUGUGUUGCUGGAGUAGAGAUGGAGGAAUCACAGUAAAUUCAUUUUAAUAUAGGUAGAAAUACAGGUGUGUGUGUGUGUGUGUAUUUAUGUAUGUAUGUAUGUGUGUGUGUUUAUGUGUGUGUGUGUGUGUACACGCAUACACAGUUACUAAUACGUUCUCUCUGUGAGAACUUAAUAUUAGUGACAGGCCAUUACAGUAAGUUCUCAGACUUCCCAGACCUUGUUUUCCAAAUCCAUCUGGAAUAAAGGGACCAGGACUUCUUCACUUUAUUAAAAAUUCUCAGUCCCAGCAGGGAAAGUAUAAGUACAUCUAAAGCACUGUGUGCCUGCUAGAGAGUAACAAAAUGCUUUCAAAACAAAGAAUCUGAUACAGACAAGCCCUAGGGACACAGGAGGAAGUGGAAAGGGCUCAUGUAUCCAUGGCUGAAACUGCUCCAACAAAUUAAACAAUAGAUUUUAAUGAUAAUUCAAAGAAGAAGAAACACUCAUUAGUUCAUAUUAAUAGAAGUAAUUGAGUAAAGAUUUCUUUGUAGAAGAACUGCAGUAGCGGGUUUGAGGGAGAGAGGGAAUUACAAGCAAUGCUUCAGUCGUUGCAGUUGAAGCAAAGGGAUGAGAGCUGCUCCAUUAGCGGGCAGGUUAUGUGAAGGAGAGACAUUCACAUAACUUCAUUAUAUCUUGUGUUAAAAUACCUAUGAAUUUAUUAAUUGCUAUGGUGAUUUUUUUAUUUAUACCCCUAAAUUCUGUGAUACUCCUAGUCCUAGAAAACUUGAGCCCCUCCCCUUGAAUAUUGGCUGGGUUUGUUAUUCCUUGGUUCUGGUUUGUGCUGGUGUUCAUUUAUUUGUGUGUUCCUGGUGACUCAAGUGCAUUCUGGCCACACAUCUACCAUGGAACUACAUUCCCAGCUCCUUUGUUUUGUUUUUGUCUUUUUUCAGAAGAGUUUCACAGUAUAGCCCAUGCUGGUCCCGAAGUCUGAUCUUCCUUUCCUCACUUCCCUGGUAGGUGGACUCCAGGCAUUAGUCACAUGGCUCAGUGUGACUUAUUUUGAAGGUAGAAGUAUAGAAAGUAAAAACAGUGCAACUUCCAAGUAAAACAAUAAGUAGCUACUGCUUUAAGUGAUAAAAGUUAAUAUUACUACUAAUAAUCUGUACUAAUAUCACCUAUCCCUUGUGUGGUGCUUUUAAUAAGAAUGGCUCCCAUAAAACCUGAGGCAGCUGCUUACGCACACCUUUAAUCCCAGGAUUAGUCCUUGGGAGGCAGAGGCAGGUGCAGCUCUGAGUUAAAAGCCAGAUUUACAUAGUUUCAGAACAGCCAGAGGGGCAUAGUAAGACCCAGUCUCAAAAAAAGG
rnacentral:lncRNA from 1 species